rnacentral:rRNA from 1 species
AGCCGGCCUGAGAGGGUGACCGGCCACACUGGGACUGAGAUACGGCCCAGACUCCUACGGGAGGCAGCAGUGGGGAAUAUUGCACAAUGGGCGCAAGCCUGAUGCAGCGACGCCGCGUGAGGGAUGACGGCCUUCGGGUUGUAAACCUCUUUNNNCAGGGACGAAGCGCAAGUGACGGUACCUGGAGAAGAAGGACCGGCCAACUACGUGCCAGCAGCCGCGGUAAUACGUAGGGUCCGAGCGUUGUCCGGAAUUACUGGGCGUAAAGAGCUCGUAGGUGGUUUGUCGCGUUGUUCGUGAAAACUCACAGCUUAACUGUGGGCGUGCGGGCGAUACGGGCAGACUGGAGUACUGCAGGGGAGACUGGAAUUCCU